rnacentral:rRNA from 1 species
AUUGAACGCUGGCGGCAGGCCUAACACAUGCAAGUCGAGCGAGCGGCGGACGGGUGAGUAAUGUAUGGGAAUCUGGCUUAUGGAGGGGGAUAACGACGGGAAACUGUCGCUAAUACCGCGUACCAUAGGAUGAGCCCAAGUGGGAUUAGGUAGUUGGUGGGGUAAAUGCCUACCAAGCCUGCGAUCUCUAGCUGGUCUGAGAGGAUGACCAGCCACACUGGAACUGAGACACGGUCCAGACUCCUACGGUAGGCAGCAGUGGGGAAUAUUGCGCAAGGGGGGGAACCUGACGCAGCCAUGCCGCGUGAAUGAAGAAGGCCUUCGGGUUGUAAAGUUCUUUCGGUAGCGAGGCGUUAACUACAGAAGAAGCACCGGCUAACUCCGUGCCAGCAGCCGCGGUAAUAC